rnacentral:rRNA from 1 species
AACGAACGCUGGCAGCGUGCCUAACACAUGCAAGUCGAGCGAGAAAGCCCGCAAGGGUGAGUAAAGCGGCGCACGGGUGCGUAACACGUGGGUAAUCUGCCCUGGAGUCCCGGAAUAACUCGGCCGAAAGGCGCGCUAAUGCCGGAUGAGACCACGGGAGCCUCGGCUCCUGGCGGGAAAAAGGUGGCCUCUGUACACAAGCUACCUCUUCAGGAUGAGCCCGCGGCCCAUCAGCUAGUUGGCGGGGUAAUGGCCCACCAAGGCGACGACGGGUAGCUGGUCUGAGAGGACGAUCAGCCACACUGGAACUGAGACACGGUCCAGACUCCUACGGGAGGCAGCAGUGGGGAAUCUUGCGCAAUGGGCGAAAGCCUGACGCAGCAACGCCGCGUGUGUGAAUGAAGGUCUUCGGAUCGUAAAGCACUGUCGCGAGGGACGAAUAAGGGUCGGGAUAAUACCCCGGUCCGAUGACGGUACCUCGAGAGGAAGCACCGGCUAACUCUGUGCCAGCCGCCGC